rnacentral:rRNA from 1 species
AACACAUGCAAGUCGAGCGAUGAAGCACCUUCGGGUGUGAAUUAGCGGCGAACGGGUGAGGAACACGUGAGAAAUCUGCCUUCAACACUGGGAUAACUCCGGGAAACCGGGGCUAAUACCGGAUAUGAAACCUGCGGGCAUCCGCGGGUUUGGAAAGUUUUUCGGUUGAAGAUGAUCUCGCGGCCUAUCAGCUUGUUGGUGAGGUAAUGGCUCACCAAGGCGACGACGGGUAGCCGGCCUGAGAGGGCGACCGGCCACACUGGGACUGAGACACGGCCCAGACUCCUACGGGAGGCAGCAGUGGGGAAUAUUGGGCAAUGGAGGAAACUCUGACCCAGCGACGCCGCGUGCGGGAUGAAGGCCUUCGGGUUGUAAACCGCCUUCAGCAGGGAAGAAGCGAAAGUGACGGUACCUGCAGAAGAAGCACCGGCUAACUAUGUGCCAGCAGCCGUGGUAAUACAUAGGGUGCAAGCGUUGUCCGGAAUUAUUGGGCGUAAAGAGCUCGUAGGUGGUUCGUCACGUCGGAUGUGAAACUCUGGGGCUUAACCCCAGACCUGCAUUCGAUACGGGCGAGCUUGAGUAUGGUAGGGGAGUCUGGAAUUCCUGGUGUAGCGGUGGAAUGCGCAGAUAUCAGGAGGAACACCAAUGGCGAAGGCAGGACUCUGGGCCAUUACUGACACUGAGGAGCGAAAGCGUGGGGAGCGAACAGGAUUAGAUACCCUGGUAGUCCACGCCGUAAACGGUGGGCACUAGUUGUGGGGACCUUCCACGGUCUCUGCGACGCAGCUAACGCAUUAAGUGCCCCGCCUGGGGAGUACGAUCGCAAGAUUAAAACUCAAAGGAAUUGACGGGGCCCCGCACAAGCAGCGGAGCAUGCGGCUUAACUCGACGCAACGCGAAGAACCUUACCAAGGCUUGACAUAUACAGGAAUAUGGUAGAGAUGUCAUAGCCGCAAGGUCUGUAUACAGGUGGUGCAUGGUUGUCGUCAGCUCGUGUCGUGAGAUGUUGGGUUAAGUCCCGCAACGAGCGCAACCCUCGUUCUGUGUU